UAGAGCUAGGUUGCUGUGCAAUGUCAUUAGAGGAUGUCUUUGAAUGAGUUUGUGUCUUCACAGUUUUUUUUUUUAAUUUUUUUGAGGCCAUUUAUUUGUAUAACUAUUUUAUACAUUUAAGCAUAUUAUAGAAUGGUUGCCUUUGCUUAUUUUCCAUAAACCUCUCUUCAAAUCAAGUGGGUUCAUUUAAUGUGAGCAUCUAAUAAAAAUAAUGUGUCAGAGCAAGAAUAUGUGAUUAAAAUAUUUAGAUCAAAGGCCAACUCACAUAGUAUUCCUUUGAAAUAUAGUAAUUGGUCCAGUCUUGCACAUACUGGUAUUUGCUACUUUGUUUUUCCAAAUUUCUAUUUUCAAACCUCUAAAGAGCAAUGUGUCUGAAACUGACAGACUUCCUAUAACUGGGAACAAAUAAGAUGUACUCAGCACACAGAGAAAUGGAGCACAGGUAUGCCAAGGUAAAGUUUCAUACUUUAUUUUCUUUUUUCUUAAGCAAGCCACAUUAAGUGAAUUUCUUAAGCAGAAUAUAUGCUAAUUAACAUAAACAGGUAUAUUUUUACUAUGUAAAUGUUUAAGCUGAGAUACUCUGCAGCUGCUCAUGUUUGGAUGAAUAUAUUUACACAUAAGUAACUUGAGAACAGUCAAGUUAUCUUAUUUUGUAGACAAAAAGCUAUGUUACAAUUGUAUGGGGAAAUCCUAUUCCUAAGCAAUGUUCUAAUUUUCAGUGAGUGUUCUAAACACUUUUUAUUUGGUGGCAGCCUGUUCGCUAAUGGGUAUGUUCCUGCCGUCCUCUUUGCUUUUUUUGAAUCCUCUUCUCUGAAUUGCCUGACACUAAGUGAUCUAAAUUUUUAAAUAUAGGCAGGAAAGCUGUUAUUUUUUAUUUAGCUUUUACCAUGUAAUGGAAUUUGUGACAAGAUUAUUUGCUAAAAUGUUAUUUUGUAUCUUGAUUGGUGUUCUUUGCAAAGGACACCAAGCUAUGUGCUAUAAAUGAGACAUGAGCUUUGAAUUGGGAGGUAGGGUGGAAGAUGACCUCUGUUAAAAACAGCCAAGUAAUCAUUACAAAAGUUUUAGGUGAUCUGAACUGUUUAACUGGAAGCUUGACAGUAGUAAUUGUGGGUGUCUGUGAAGAAUAACUGAGUUUGCUCAAUGAGUAGCUUGAGUUCUCUUUAAGGAAGCAUAUAUCACAAGGUGUAUGUUUUUUCUUGGAUUAAGUACUUUUAAAUUGGCGCUUUAGAAACGUCUGAAUGUCUCUAGCUCCUGGAAUGAAUUACCAUUAAUGAUAACAUGAUCUAUCAUUGUACAUUAUUGGUCUGUUUGCCUACACUAUAAGAAAUUAACUAUCAGAAGCCUUUUUAUCAACCAGACCAGAAAGAAUUGAGUAACAAUAUUGUUACUAGCUGUUGGAGACCAAUUUUCACCAGAUGAGUGCCAAUGGUAUACCCUUUCUUUAGCAAAUGUUAGCUCUGAUUUUGAAAGCUCUGUUUGCAUACAGAACAUAAAAAAAAAAAUUGGCAGACCCUUUCGGGUACCAUUUGUCAGGCACUCUCCUAACUUUAUCGCCCUUCUGCAACCAUGGUAAAUUUCCCAAAUUACGAGUUUUUGAACACUAGACAUUUUUGUUUUGAAACAAUGUCGAACUCCAACCAUCAUUUAAAAAGUGGCAAAGAAACAAAUGGCAUUUUUAUUCUUUACCAAAAUACAAUUAACUACAAUGUUUGUAAGUCCUCUGAGGGGAUGAUAUUGUCUUGGUCUCCACUGAGCCC
rnacentral:lncRNA from 1 species